UUGCGGCCACAUCACAUUGAAACACCUAUUCCCAUACAAUCACUGAAGUUAAAUAAUGUCGAGCCUGGUCUAUACUGAGAUGGGUGGCUGCUUGGGAAUAGUUGG